AGAACAACCGAAGAAAUCCUCAAAUCUGGGAACUAAAGAACAACUCGUUAGAAGUAGGAUUUCGUGAUAAAUUUUUAUAGAUUCUUGGAGAUGAUGAACAAACAAGUAACCGCUGUCCAAAAUCUGUAGCCGCCUAAGCCCAAAACAAAUUUUUGCACUCAAAAAAAAAUAAAAAUAAAAAAUAAAAAAUUUAAAAUCAUUACCCAGCCCAAACCUGAACAGCUCAUCCCCGAUCUCGCUCUGAGUUUCUCCCACAGCUCUCUACUCGUCUCCGUCUCUCGAAAUACCAGGCAUCGCCGACAGCAGCCCUCGAUUGAAUGAUAUAGUCUCAAUUAUUGGGAAACUUCUUCUUCAUUGCUCCGAGAAAGUUGUAUUGGGGAUUUCAUCAGACUGCAUCUGGCUGAAAUUUGUACAAGUUUUGUGGUGGAGGGAAGAAGAUUGAAACUUGGGCUGGGCGAACUUAUAUUUAGGAAGAGCGCGAUCAGUUAUAAUUCAUAUUUUUGUUGAUCGUUAGUAUCCUAUUUCGAUUUUCAGUUAGUAAGAGAGUUUCCUCACCCAAAGGAGAACAGGUUUGU